UGGGGAAUUUUGGACAAUGGGCGAAAGCCUGAUCCAGCAAUGCCGCGUGUGUGAAGAAGGCCUUCGGGUUGUAAAGCACUUUUGUCCGGAAAGAAAUCCUUGGCUCUAAUACAGUCGGGGGAUGACGGUACCGGAAGAAUAAGCACCGGCUAACUACGUGCCAGCAGCCGCGGUAAUACGUAGGGUGCAAGCGUUAAUCGGAAUUACUGGGCGUAAAGCGUGCGCAGGCGGUUUGCUAAGACCGAUGUGAAAUCCCCGGGCUCAACCUGGGAACUGCAUUGGUGACUGGCAGGCUAGAGUAUGGCAGAGGGGGGUAGAAUUCCACGUGUAGCAGUGAAAUGCGUAGAGAUGUGGAGGAAUACCGAUGGCGAAGGCAGCCCCCUGGGCCAAUACUGACGCUCAUGCACGAAAGCGUGGGGAGCAAACAGGAUUAGAUACCCCUGGUAGUCCACGCCCUAAACGAUGUCAACUAGUUGUUGGGGACUUCAUUUCCUUAGUAACGUAGCUAACGCGUGAAGUUGACCGCCUGGGGAGUACGGUCGCAAGAUUAAAACUCAAAUGAAUUGACGGGGU
rnacentral:rRNA from 1 species